UACGGGGGGGGCAAGCGUUGUUCGGAAUUACUGGGCGUAAAGGGCUCGUAGGUGGCCAACUAAGUCAGACGUGAAAUCCCUCGGCUUAACCGGGGAACUGCGUCUGAUACUGGAUGGCUUGAGUUCGGGAGAGGGAUGCGGAAUUCCUGGUGUAGCGGUGAAAUGCGCAGAUAUCAGGAGGAACACCGAUGGCGAAGGCAGGUCUCUGGGCCACUACUGACGCUGAGAAGCGAAAGCAUGGGGAGCGAACAGG
rnacentral:rRNA from 1 species